rnacentral:rRNA from 1 species
GGCGUCGGCUGAGUAACGCGUGGGUGACGUACCUAUCGGUGGGGAAUAACUGCCCGAAAGGGUGGACUAAUACCGCAUACGCCCGUCGAGUCAAUCGAUGGGGAAAGCCGCAAGGCGCUGAUGGAGCGGCCCGCGUCCGAUUAGCUUGUUGGUGGGGUAACGGCCUACCAAGGCGACGAUCGGUAGCUGGUCUCAGAGGAUGAUCAGCCAGACUGGGACUGAGACACGGCCCAGACUCCAUACGGGAGGCAAGCAGUUAGGAAUUUUGGGCAAUGGGCGCAAGCCUGACCCAGCAACGCCGCGUGGGUAGACGAAGGCCUUCAGGGUUGUAAAGCCCAUUUCUGAGGGAAGAUGAUGACGGUACCUCAGGAAGAAGCACCGGAUAAC